UCUACUUUAAGUUUUUUAUUUCAGAAUUGGACUUUCCAUGCAAAUACAAACUAAACAUCAUCUUCUUUUACCCCAUGAGCAUGAGAUUGGUUUUUUUCUUUUUUGGAUUUCUUUCUGUUUUGAGUGAGGGAUUCACAUAUUCCAGGUUGACCUCAAAAAGGAUGCUCUUCUGUUCCUCGUGACGCUACCUCCCCCAGGAAUGACAGCUUUGCAGAUGAAUAACUGCUGCGGAGAAAAGCCUGAGAAAACAGGAUGAAGAUUCUAUGUGUGUUGAUUUGGCAACACAGAAUAACGUUGUACAGAAUUUUUCAAAGAGACCCUGAGGAGAUUGCUCCUUUGGUAAAGCGUUUGCUGUGGUAAAAUGGAAACCUGAUCACCAGCACCUACAAAAGAAGCCGGGCAUAGUGGCACAGGCCUCUCAUCCCAGCGUUCAGAUGAUGGAGACUAAUGGAUCCCUGAGGCUUGCUGGUCUACCAGCCUCAAGUAGACUCAUUGAGCACCAGAUGAUUUUGCCAUCUCAAUGAAUACAUGAAGAGUAUUUUUUAAGGAAGUGUGUAGUGGUGGCCAUUUUCAAGGCAGAACACAGAAGCUGCAGAGAAUGGAAGCAUCAUGGAGAAAAUGGCAGGGAGACCCAAGACUCCAAGACAAGAAGGAUGAAGUAAAAGAAGCAAUCAGGAAAGAAGCAUUGCUGUCCAUGGGCAGAACUAUCCCAGGAAGUUAAUCGCGAUAAACACAAGCGCCAAGCAGCGUCCCCUCUGUGCCUCUCCCUGCCUGGAGAUCCGUACUGAAAUCACUGCGGGCAUCUGACUGCUUCACGUAGCCCGGGGAAGUUUUACUGUGGGUCUUCUCAGAGCCAAAACCAGAAAGAAGCACUUCUGAAAAAACCCAACGAAGCUGAAAGAAGCGGUUUUUUGCAGCGGUACCUGCCAGCGAGACUUGUUCCUUUGCCACAAGGGGUGCUGGGCAAAAGCCUCUAUCCCUCAUUAAAUCAAUAAAAUCAAGUGUCCUUUAUUUUAA
rnacentral:sRNA from 1 species